GUAACACCCGUUCCCAUUCCGAACACGACGGUUAAGCCUUUAGAAGCCGAUGGUACUGCACGGGAGACUGUGUGGGAGAGUAGGUGGUCGCCA
rnacentral:rRNA from 1 species